rfam:Pteropus alecto contig2210, whole genome shotgun sequence.
UUUUUAGUAUAAGUAUGUCCCAUGUAAUAUGUGGGACAAACUUACACUAAAA